GAUGAACGCUAGCGAUAGGCUUAACACAUGCAAGUCGAGGGGCAGCAUGGUCUUAGCUUGCUAAGGCUGAUGGCGACCGGCGCACGGGUGCGUAACGCGUAUGCAACUUGCCUCACAGAGGGGGAUAACCCGUCGAAAGACGGACUAAUACCGCGUACACUCUAUGUUGGGCAUCCAAUGUAGAGGAAAUGAAAUUCGCUGUGAGAUAGGCAUGCGUCCCAUUAGCUAGUUGGUGAGGUAACGGCUCACCAAGGCGACGAUGGGUAGGGGAACUGAGAGGUUGAACCCCCACACUGGUACUGAGACACGGACCAGACUCCUACGGGAGGCAGCAGGGAGGAAUAUGGGUCAAUGGGCGAGAGCCUGAACCAGCCAAGUCGCGUGAAGGAUGACUGUCUUAUGGAUUGUAAACUUCUUUUAUACGGGAAUAACAAGAGUCACGUGUGGCUCCCUGCAUGUACCGUAUGAAUAAGCAUCGGCUAACUCCGU
rnacentral:rRNA from 1 species